UUCCGGUUGAUCCCGCCGGAGGCCAUUGCUAUUGGGGUCCGAUUUAGCCAUGCUAGUCGCACGGGUUAGACCCGUGGCGAAUAGCUCAGUAACACGUGGCCAAACUACCCUACGGAGGAGGAUACUCUCGGGAAACUGAGGCUAAUCCUCCAUAGGACUGUCGAGCUGGAGUGCCGGCAGUCCGAAACGCUCCGGCGCCGUAGGACGUGGCUGCGGCCGAUUAGGUAGACGGUGGGGUAACGGCCCACCGUGCCGAUAAUCGGUACGGGUUGUGAGAGCAAGAGCCCGGAGACGGGAUCUGAGACAAGAUCCCGGGCCCUACGGGGCGCAGCAGGCGCGAAACCUUUACACUGCACGACAGUGCGAUAAGGGGACCCCAAGUGCGAGGGCAUAUCGUCCUCGCUUUUCCGCACCGUAAGGUGGUGCAGGAAUAAGGGCUGGGCAAGACCGGUGCCAGCCGCCGCGGUAAUACCGGCAGCCCGAGUGAUGGCCACUAUUAUUGGGCCUAAAGCGUCCGUAGCCGGCCGGACAAGUCCGUCGGGAAAUCCACCCGCUCAACGGGUGGGCGUCCGGCGGAAACUGUUCGGCUUGGGGCCGGAAGACCUGGGGGGUACGUCCGGGGUAGGAGUGAAAUCCUGUAAUCCCGGACGGACCGCCGGUGGCGAAAGCGCCCCAGGAAGACGGACCCGACGGUCAGGGACGAAAGCUAGGGUCUCGAACCGGAUUAGAUACCCGGGUAGUCCUAGCCGUAAACGAUGCCCGCUAGGUGUGGCACAGGCUACGAGCCUGUGCUGUGCCGUAGGGAAGCCGUGAAGCGGGCCGCCUGGGAAGUACGUCUGCAAGGAUGAAACUUAAAGGAAUUGGCGGGGGAGCACUACAACCGGAGGAGCCUGCGGUUUAAUUGGAUUCAACGCCGGA
rnacentral:rRNA from 1 species